AACACGGCGAGUGCAUAAGAUCUCGGCAGCUAAUGCUCGAGUUGAUCGUAAACGUGUGUGUGUUAAGCAGGAUCGUUAGUUGGUUGGCCAAAAACAGACGUCUUCUUAGCUGGUCCAAGAUAAUCAUAGACAACAAACAUGUGUACAUGCUUUAUUGCUGUUGCGAUCAGUAGCUGGCUCGUCGCGUGAUAAGCGGAAGGCAACAGGCAGCAUGCACAUUUAUUACUUUCGGUCAAAACACGAUUUCGCGAAUCAGCGAUGCAUCAGGUCCGAAAUAAAAGUUGACAAGUUUGCCUCCUGACCGCAACCGGCCAGCUAACAGCUAAUGGUCCAAAAGCUUUCGCUUGCAGAAAUUGCUGUAGAAGGGUGAAAUUGUCACCCUCCGCUAACGAGUUUUGUGAUCCUGUUUUCCGGAGCCAUGGUCAAAAUCAUCAUCCCCCCUCACAACAUCGUACUGACAGGAGUGUGUGUCAAGAUCAGCUGCGCCAUACUUCGAACUAAAAAUAGUACGCCAAAGAGUACGAAGGACAGGAAAAGGAUUUAAGUCUUUAAGUCUUCCAUCACCGCUUUGCGUGAGUGAAUAUCGAACCCGCUUUUUCUAUCCUGACAAUAAAGACAAGCUUAUGGA